rnacentral:lncRNA from 1 species
CCUAUGGGCACAAAAAGCAGGAACGAGUAGCGGUGGCUGAAGAACGAGCAGGAGCUUGAAUUUCAGUUUUCUUAUGAGGAAUUUUCCAGAAAAGAUAUCUUCACUGUGAAAUAACUAAAUAAAUGCCCACUCAGUACAGUCACUGUCUCCCUUUUGGAACUUGAUGGCACCUUAAGCCCAGGUUUGCCUCCACUCUAGAAACUCAUCAGAGUGAUGCCCUUCUCAAAUGGGGGAGGUCCCAAAGCGGAUAUCCUGGCAGUGUGAAAGGCCGGCUAAAGGUUUGUGCCAAGAGGAUCUGUGGAAUGCAUCUCCUACAGCUGGUGCUGCUGAGUAACCACUCUGAUCUGGCAUCUUCUUUGAUCAAGUUACAGAGCAGAGUUUCCAGGGCUGGGGAUUGAAGUCCUGCCUCCUCCCUUUGUCUCUGGUUGUCCUCGGUAAUGUUUUUCCCUCAAGGUACUCAUGAUACUUCCCAUGGGGUGAGUCAGGGACAGGUCUCUUUCCAGGGAAUCCAGGAUGGUAGGGAGGUUGGUUGUCUACCUUGAUCUCACUUUUUCCAUUGUAGAAACUGUGAGUUGGGGAAAGUUUUCCACACACUUGGUGCUGGACAGAUUGUGGCAAGGGGCACCACAGAUAUAAAAAUCUGAUUCUUUUACCAUGCUCAGAGUUUUUUCACUUCUGUGUCCCCAGGAAUUGACUCAUCCUCAUAUCUGAGUUCUGGGAUAUUGUUGGUGAUAAUCUCAGUGCUGUAUAUUUGUUUUUGGUUUUCUGGUGUGGAAGUGAAGCCAGCUUGCGUCUACACUGCCAUUUUUGAACUAGAAGUCCACCUGAUGCCAUGUGGGUCUGCUCUAACAAAGAUGCCUGUAGCUGUCUCUGUAGGUACAAUUGGAGCUACUACCUCAUAAAGUUUGUGGUAGCCCACUAUCUGGUUUUUGGAGGGGCUAGACUGGUAAAUUAAAUGGAGAUACAAUUUGAACCAUCAUCCCCGAAUCUUUUAGGUCUUUUAGGAUGGCAUUAAUUUCUGCCAUUCCCUGAAAUAUUAUUUUUUGAUUUACUGUAUUGGUAUGGAGAAGAGGUCAAUUUUUAAAGCUUCCACCUGGCCACUUGGCCUUUAUCACUAUGUUAGCUCUUACCACACACACCGAGAAACCUGGUGCCACUAAUCAAGUGUAUUUAUCACAAUUAUACACUCAAGGACUAGGUGGGUCUGUGGAUAUAUUGUGAGCCAGACUUGGGCCAGGACACCCUAGGACUUGGCCUCCAUAACCCUUACUCUAAUCAAGGGCAUAUAGUGAGAGUUCUGUGAUAUCAUUGUUAACUCAGACCCUGUUUCCAACAGAUAUCAAAAUGUUGAGUAUUCCCCUUUCACCACUGUAUGAUUUCCUGAGUAAUGGUGAUAGGUCCCUUUGGAGAAGGACUAGAGGAAUCAUUAUUGUGCACACUUGUGGUAUUACACAAUCCUUCCUCCUGGGGACCCAGAUUCUUCUUUAGUUAAUGGGCCUGGAUCCAAAAACGGACUCAGGUCUGGAAAUCGGACAAGGGGUCAUGAUUAUUUUUUAUUUUUAUUUAUUUAUUUAUUUAUUUAUUUUUGAGACAGAGUCUCCCUCUUUAGCCCAGGCUGGAGUGCAGUGGCACAAUCUCUACUCAUGGCAACCUCCAUCUCCUGGGUUCAAGCAAUUCUUUUGCCUCAGCCUCCCGAGUAACUGGAUUACAGGCGCGCACCACCUUGCCCGGCUAAUGUUUGUAUUUUUAGUAGAGACAGGGUUUCACCAUGUUGGCCAGGCUGGUCUUGAACUACUGGCCUCAGGGAAUCCACCCUCCUCGGCCUUCCAAAGUACUAAAUUUAUAGUCAUGAGCCACUGCACCCCGCCAGUUUAACUUUUUUUUAAUUGGCUUAGUUGCCAAGAGAGGAAGUUGGGGAGGAUCCUGAGGAGUGUAUGUUUUGUCCUUGGAGAGAGAGCUCAUUGUCUUCAAGCAAAAGAGGGAGCACACUAGCCCUUAUUAGAGAAGAGAGGGGCACUUCUGUAGCCUUAGAAGGUUCUGGAAACCUGAGGAUUGAAGAUUUUUCAGGUGCAUCAACCCAGAUGGUUUCAUCCCAUGUGUCAGGGUUCCAUUUUUUCCCAAUCAGGGUCCUGACAACAGCACAGUAGACCUGCCUAGCUUGGGUCCUAACUUCUUUGGAGUUUUAUUCUCAUGACUAAGUCCUGGGCCUGGUCCUCAGCUUCCUCUCCUCAUUGGCUUGAGAACCUGAGAGUCUCAUAUUCUACGAGGGAGGCUUUCUGGCCCUCACACUGAGUUUUUGUUUGUUUUUGAGACAAGAUCUUGCUUUGUCACUAAGGCUGAGUGUGUAGUUGCACCCAGGCUGGGAGUGCAGUGGCACAGUAAGCUACUGUAACCUUGAACUCCUGGACCCAAAUUAUCCUCUGGCCUCAGCCUCUUGAGUAACAGAACAACAAAUGCAUGCCACUAUGCCCUGCUGAUUUUAAAUUUUUGUGGAGAUGGGCCUUGCUAUGUUGCCCAGGCUGGUCUUGAAUUCCUGGCCUCAAGCUAUCCUCCCUUUUCAGUCUUCUGAGGCACUGGAAUUACAGGCAUGAGCCACGGCUCUUGGUCCCACACUCAGCUUCUAAUUACCAACUAAUCACUCUCAUUCUUUUAUUUUGAGACAGGGUCUCAUUCUGUAGCUCAAGCUGGAGUACAGUAGUGCAAAUAUAGCUCACUGCAGCCUCAAACUCCUGGGGUCAGGUGAUCUUCUUGCCUCAGCUUCCCAAAUAGCUAGGACUACAGCCACAAGCUACUGGGCAUGGAUAAUUUUUUAAAUAUUUGUAGAGACAGGGUCUCGCUAUGUUGCCCAGGCUGGUCUCAAACUCCUGGCUCAGCCUCCCAAAGUGCUGGGAUUACAAGUGUGAGCCACUAUGCCUGGCCCAUUCUCAUUCUUCUGUUAUCUUUUUCCAAGGUAUCGGUCUAGCUCAGUAAUAACUCUUCAGUUCCACUGUCUACACUGUUUCCCACCUGAUCUUCGUGCCUGCCGGUGCAUUUCUUUGUGUUGACAUGCCAUCUCAGUUCACCACUAGUCAAAGUUUUAAUAACUGCACUGUCAGGGUGUGCUAGCAGUUAACUUCUCCCUGCCCCAGUGAGGAGACUCUCAUCCUAUAAGUGAGAAGGCAAGAGAAAUGGCUCCAAAAGCACACUGGAGCACCUACUUUCCUGCAACCCUUCUGAUACCAAGUAUCACAGAUGCUGAGAUGAAGAUUAGUGGGUAGGAGAUUUGGAUUGCCACCUGUGGAAAGAAAGGAAACUCCACUGGGUGGAGGAAGAAUAUGGACUAUGAUGCAAUCUCAAAGGUGGCCUUAGCUGACACUAAGGGGAACUCUGAAGCUAGGAUGGUCUUUCAGAUUGUUCUAAUAUGGGGCAAUGGGACUAGUCUUUGCAUGCAGCCUGGCCCAAGAAGGAAGUGUGACUUCAGAUGAGGUGGCUCUUUUCACUUAAGAGGGCAAUUCUACUGACAGCUGAGGGCCGUUGGGUGCACACUGCCAGAGCGAGAAAACAAAAUCCUCUGUAGGGAAGGGGACUGUGUGGCAUAUCACAGCACACCCCGAGAACAAGGGAGCGGCUCUUCAUCAAAUAACACAAUAUGGGCCCACAUAUUCCCAGAGGCUGCUAUAGUGCUGGGCACAUUAGUGCUCAAUAACUUAUUGAAUUAGUAUUAUCAUAUUGUGCUAUUGCCAUCCUCAUCUUUUAAAGUCACUUAUCACUUAAUGGAUGUUCUUGUUAGAACUGACACUAUGAAGAUGACUAUGACACAAUUACCUGUUGAGCCUAUUUGAGAAAUUAACCUAUAUUUAACAAGUUUGACUAAUUAGAUUGGUUAAGAGCCUUAGCAGAGGGCUAAACAAAAUGGUGUUAAAGAAUACACCUGAUGGUCCAAGAAAAUCCCUAACUCCCUAGAAGGUCUGGAUAGUCUGAGAAGUGACAUUCGAACAGUGUAAUGCACUUUCCUCCAGAGCCAGAAGCAGGGAAAGCAGAGGCAGCAGCAAUUUUAUCUUCUGGGCACCUUAUCCUCAGACCUCAUUUUAUCAAUACAUACGGACUGUCUACAACCACGUAAUAUCCUUUUCAUCAGCCUUAUGAAAUUUUCCCCCAAUUUAUCCAAGUCAGGAUUUCAGUAUGCAGAAGUCUAAUGUCAUCUUGGAGAGUUCAUUGUGCCUCCCCCAUAUCCAAGACCAUUUACUAAAACCUUAGUUCAGUCUUUAAAGAGUCACAAGAUCCUAUUAUGCCUAGUUUUUUUUCCAGUCUUUUAAGUCUAUUCCUUACCUUGCCAAAAAAGUACCUGUUUCUAUGGUUUAACAAAUGGAGCUUAGAAUAUGGAACUAUGACAAAAAUACCUGCUACAUGCUUCCUUCUGUAUGAAUACAUGAGACCUACCUUCAUUCAUGUUUCCUCUAUGAAGCUUUCCCUGCACUCCAAACACAGAGCUGAGACUUCCACCUAAUGUAGAAAGCUAGCACGAGCCGGCGCUGACAGAUGGAAGACUUGAGAUGUUACAAGAUUAUAUAUGGAAACACAAAAGGAGUGGAGUUGCUGGGUCAUAUGGCAAUUCAUUUGAGGAACUGAGAAGCUUAUUCCAUGGAGGCUGAACUGUUUUAUAUUCCCACCAGCAACGUGUAAGGUUCCAGUUUAUCUACAUCAUCACCAACACUUGCUAUUUUCCAUUUCAUUAAUGAUAGCCAUCCUAGUGGAUUUGAAGUGGUACCUUAUUAUCGUGGUUUUGAUUGCAUUCUCUAUUGACUAAUGAUAUCGAGCAUCUUUUCAUGUAUUUUUUGGUCAUUUGGUCAUUUUUCUUUUUUAAUUUUAAAAUUUUGAGACAGGCUCUCACUAUGUUGCCCAGGUGGUCUCAAACUCCUGGGUUCCAGCGAUGCUCAUGCCUCAGUCUCCCAAAGGGGUGGGAUUACAGGUGUGAGCCACUUUGCCCAGCCCAUUUGUAUAUCUCCUUUGGAGAAUAUCUAGGUUCUUUUGAAGGUAGCUGCAUAUAAACUAGCCAAAUUAACAGACUGUGGUUUUUAGAUGGCUUUCCAUAUCUACAAGAACUAUUUAGUUCUCAAAACUGGGAAGAAAUGUUUCAGAGGCAUCAUUAAUUCAUAAUCUAAAAAUUUAUCUUGGGUUUCCUUUUUUCCCCCAGAUUCUGUAUCCUCCAUAGUCCUAUUCAUGACAUGGGUCGUUCAUCUCUGUAUUCUAAACCCUCAAUGAA